GGAUGUGAGGGCAAUCUGGCUGUGACAUCUGACACCCUAUUGAUAGCCAGGGUUGAUUCAGUUGAUCUGGCUGGCUAGGUGGGUGUCCCCUUCCUCCCUCACAGCUCCAUGUGCAUCCCUCCUGAAGCUGCACACUCGGUCAAAGAGGACAACCAUCCCAAUAGAGAGGACGUUCUUCAGUCAAGGGUAUAUGAGUAGCUGUGUUCCCCUGCUAGAACUUCCAAACAAGCUCUCAUAAAAAAACAAAACAAAACCCAACUCCUUGCUGCCUGCAGGAAACACUCUUUACUAGUAAAGACAAACAUGGCCUGAAAGUGAAAGGAUGGCAAAAGAU
rnacentral:snRNA from 1 species